rnacentral:lncRNA from 1 species
UUGAGAGAGGUCAGCGUGAGCCCCUUGCCUCACACCGGCCCCUCCCACGCUGAGAGAGGUCAGCCCGAGCCCCUUGCCUCACACCGGCCCCUCCCACGCUGAGAGAGGUCAGCGUGAGCCCCUUGUCUCACACCGGCCCCUCCCACGCUGAGAGAGGUCAGCCCGAGCCCCUUGCCUCACACCGGCCCCUCCCACGCUGAGAGAGGUGUGAGCCCCUUGUCUCACACCGGCCCCUCCCACGCGGACAGAGGUCAGCGUGAGCCCCUUGCCUCACCCCGGCCCCUCCCACGCUGAGAGAGGUCAGUGUGAGCCCUUGCCUCACACCGGCCCCUCCCACGCGGACAGAGGUCAGCGUGAGCCCCUUGCCUCACACCGGCCCCUCCCACGCUGAGAGAGGUC